rnacentral:rRNA from 1 species
GAUGAACGCUGGCGGCGUGCCUAAUACAUGCAAGUCGAGCGAACAGACGAGGAGCUUGCUCCUCUGACGUUAGCGGCGGACGGGUGAGUAACACGUGGAUAACCUACCUAUAAGACUGGGAUAAUCUCGGGAAACCGGAGCUAAUACCGGAUAAUAUAUUGAACCGCAUGGUUCAAUAGUGAAAGACGGCUUUGCUGUCACCUAUAGAUGGAUCCGCGCCGCAUUAGCUAGUUGGGAAGGUAACGGCUUACCAAGGCAACGAUGCGUAGCCGACCUGAGAGGGGGAUCGGCCACACUGGAACUGAGACACGGUCCAGACGCCUGCGGGAGGCAGCAGUAGGGAAUCGUCCGCAAUGGGCGAAAGCCUGGCGGAGCGACGCCGCGUGAGUGAUGAAGGUCUUCGGAGCGUAAAGCUCUGUUAUUAGGGAAGAACAAAUGUGUAAGUAACUAUGCACGUCUUGACGGUACCUAAUCAGAAAGCCACGGCUAACUACGUG